rfam:Fukomys damarensis contig92956, whole genome shotgun sequence.
GGGGAUUUAGCUCAGUGGUUCUGGUGCCUGCCUCACAAGCUGAAGGACCUGAGUUUGAUCCCCAGUACCCCCA